rnacentral:misc_RNA from 1 species
CUUGGCUAAAUUAUGAACCAUAUCCUUCACUCCUUAAUUUAAGGACUAAAACUAUAUAUAUAAAACAAAAUAGAAACAAGAAGCUGCUUUACUACAAAAAGGUACAUCUCAAAGGCUUUUUCCAUGGGGGCAUAUAUGAGUUAGUUCGAUCUUGUUGCUUUAAAAUUUAAACUAUAACAAUCACCAAUAAUCUCGUCGAAAUCGCCAUAAAUGUCUCUCGAGUUCAACAAUAGAACAAAUCUGAUCCUAUUUCCUUCUGCUCUUGGCAGUAGGGGCAAUUAUUCCUCUUUUCUCCAAGCUCUUAUACCUGUCCCUCACAAGGGUGCAACAGCCCUUCAGCUUACGAAACGAUCCAGUUAUCUCCUCAGAUAGGAGAACUUGAACCGGCGCAGGCUCAAACUUGUGCUUCCCCAAGCGUGGCGGGCAUGACUUUAAUCUCUCCUGUUUGGCUAUUGUUCGCCGGAUACGUCUAUUUUCUCUCUCCUCGUCCUCUUUGGCUAUUUCGUGAAUGAUAUCCGGCAAGCUGUCAAUCUCUUUAGAAAUUCCUUCCAACUUCUUUGCUUCGGCUUCCUUUCUGACCUUUUCUUUAUGCCUAGCUCUCUUAUUCAACUCCACUCGAGUCACCCUUCUCAUCUUCAAAGGCCUUUUUUCUAAUUCAUUAUCUUCAUCCUGACCCAUUUCGUCCAAAUUGGCUUCAUCAUCAGUGUUAUUAUCAGCAUCCAAAAACAACAUAUCUUCUUCACAAAUAACUUCUCCUGGGACUGUUAAUGGAACUGGUGCAGGCCCCAGUUCAUUACGAUAUACUUUCUGCAUUUCUUGUGCAACAGCUUGGGCAAGUACAUCCUGAUGACUCUCAUGUGAUGGAUUGAACGAACAUCCAGG